CGAAAAAACCUCCGUUUGUUUUAUUUUGGUAUUUCCUAUACUGACAGCAGCGGUAGCGUGAGUAUGAAUUCUGCACCGGAAGUGACUCUACAGCGGAGGUCUACAUCCAAGUAAGAUUGUGUCGACUGAUUUUUGUCUGCUGCUGAAAGGUGCUAGCAUCAUGUGCUGUGACAUACGUUCCUGUCCAGAGAUGAGCCGGAGGAUUCCAGAUGGUGAGGAGGACACCCUAGAGCAGCGAUUCUCAACUGCAACCCACGCCAAGCUAAAACUCAGCUUUGAACCCCCGACGUCACUUCCUGUCCGGCUGAUGCACACCUAUUGAACACAUAUGUCUUAAAUGUCUUAUAUUCUCUUAUUCUGACUAUUAUAUUGGGUAAUAGGGGUGUAAAGGUGACUAAAGGGGUGUUAUUUAAUGUAUAGAGGGCUCUAAUAAUGUUAAAAUGUGUAUUUAAACAGGCUCUAACCGUAAUAAUGUUUCAUGUAUAAAUAAGGUAUCCUACUUUGUGGUAAUUCACUUUGCAUGGUUGGGUCUGGAACCAGUUAACUGCCAUAAACGAGGGAUUACUGUAUCUGAUUUUGUGGACUUACUUUGUGGAAUUUUGAUAGUUAAUUUUAUUUUCUAUUUUAUUAUUAUUAUUUUUUAAUUUUAUUUUUAAUUUUAUUUUUAAUUUAUUUUAUUUGUAAGGCGGUUUGAGUGCCUUAAAGGUGGAAAAGCACUGUACAAGUGAAAUACCAUUUACAAUAUUACUUUUUAACUUUUUUUGUUGUAUUUUUGCAUUAUUUGUAUUUCGUUUCAUUUAUUCAUUUAAUUCCCUUAAUAGCAUGCUUUAAUAAAGUCCUCUAAAAUGUGCUUUGUACAAAAAAAAAAAAAAAAAUUGUUUCGUUCGAUUUAAAAGUGGGUGGCGACAUAGUGACCAUUGGAAAAUGUGGGUCCCAGGUUGAGACCAUUUGAGAACUAGAGGCCCUAGAGCAGGGGUCACCAACGUGGUGCACCAGGUAGCCCCCCACGACCACAUGAGGUGCCCGCAAGCCUGCUUUUCAUUCAGGUUUUCAGUUCAUAAUGAAAGAACAGUAGAAAGAAAUGCAUUCUGAAAUACAAAAUGUGAGUUGUGGACACCAGCAUUUUGUUAAUGUUCUGAUAAAACAAGCAUAUUCGCUUUGUUUGGGUUUAAAAUAAGCUCUGAAAAUAAGUAUUACAAAAAUGAGUAGCUCUUGGCCAUUUUCAUUUUGUAAAAGUACCUCUCACGAGGAAAAACGUUGGUGACCCCUGCCCUCGAGGCCAUCAGUGAGGGUCCAUGGUGGGGACAGAUACUUGUCUAUUCUGGAAGAGAUCCACUUUGAUCACCAUUUCCUCUAGUAGGCAAGUGAAAUGCAGAAAGACAAAAGACACAUUUUUCUUCUAAUGGCUUCUUCUGCCAAACUGCUCAUCUCUUCACCUGAUGCGCUGCAUGUAAAAAGUGUUGCAGUGCAGUGAUGCACAGUAGGUAGUACAAUGGUACAACAGCGCUUGGAAAACCUACUAUGUGUUCGUCUUUUGACUUCAUUCCUGAAUCUUAUUUUCCAAAAUAUUACCACUUUAUUUUCUUAUGUUUGUUUCUCAUAAAAUUACUUAAAAAAUAUAUACAGACCUGAUCAAAAUCUUAAGACCAGUUGAAAAAUUGCUAGAAUUUUUAUUUUGCAAAUUUGGAUCUUAAUGAGGUUUUAAGUAGAGCUACAAUAUGCAAACGCAAGAAGGGGGAGUGAGACAAAAACUAUUUCGAACUUGUAGUUUAAACAAAACAAAACAAAAAAUGAAAUAGGUUAUUUAUCACCUCAUCAAAAUGUUAAGACCACAGGCUAUAGAAGCCAAAAUCUACUCAAAUUUUUCAUUUUCUGUCAGGCAUUCACACUGUCAUGCCCUCCUGAUGGUUAAAGCUAAGAAGCUUUCUCUUUUUGAACGUGGUCGGAUUGUGGAGCUGCAUAAGCAAGGCCUCUCGCAGCGCGCCAUUGCUGCUGAGGUUGGGAGCAGUAAGACAGUCAUUCUAAAUUUUUGAAAGAUCCUGAGCAUUAUGGAACAAAAAAGUCAAGUGGUAGACCCAAAAAAAUCACACCUGCGCUGAGCCAGAGGAUCCGAUUGGCAAUAACCAUCAGACGGCAUCUGCGGGAAAAGGAUUUAAAAAAACAAAAAACGAAUUCAAAGACCUCGUCUCCAACGCCACAAAACUGCCCGUUUAGACUUUGCCAGGGAGCAUGGGACAUUGAAAGGUGGAAAAAAGUUUUAUUCUCUGAUGACAAAAAAUGUAACCUUGACGGUCCAGAUAGCUUCCAACAUUACUGGCAUGACAAGGAGAUCCCACCUGAGAUGUUUUCUACCCGGCACAGUGGAGGGGGGUCCAUAAUGAUCUGGGGUGCUUUUUCAUUCAGUGGAACACUGGAGCUUCAGGUGGUGCGGGGUCGUCAAACGGCGGCUGCUUACGUGCAGAUGUUGCAGCGGGCAUCCCUCAUGACUGAGGGCCCUCGUCUGUGUGGUAACAGCUGGUUUUUCAACAGGACAACGCUGCAGUUCACAAUCCCCCUUCUUGUUUUUGCAUAUUGUAGCUCUACUUAAAACCUCAUUAAGAUCCAAACGUGCAAAAUAAGAAUACUAGCAAUUUUUCAACUGGUCUUAAGAUUUUGAUCAGGAGUUUAUAUAUAUAUAUGUUUUUUUCUUUAAUAUUUCAUCUCUAUGCUACCAAAAUUAUGAAAAAAAAAAAUCAUAUAUUAAGAGUUUAUUCUUGUAAAAUUACGACUUUAAUAUUUGGACUUUAUUCCCAUAAUGUUAUAACUCUUUCCUCAACCUAUUUUCGCAAAAAAAAAAAAAAAAAUCCAACUUCAUGUAGUUUUAGUUGUAUCUCAUAAUAUUACAACUUUAAUAAAGUAACAAUUUUCUUUUUAAUAUUUUAACUUAUACUGUUAAAA